AGGGUUUGAUUAUGGCUCAGGAUGAACGCUGGCGGCGUGCCUAACACAUGCAAGUCGAACGGUUAAACCGCCUUCGGGCGGACAUACAGUGGCGAACGGGUGAGUAACACGUGACCAACCUGCCCCGCGCUCCGGGACAACCUCGGGAAACCGAGGCUAAUACCGGAUGCGCCGCCCGCCCCGCAUGGGGCGGGCGGGAAAGCCGAGACGGCGCGGGAUGGGGUCGCGGCCCAUCAGGUAGACGGCGGGAUGAGAGCCCACCGUGCCUGCGACGGGUAGCCGGCCUGAGAGGGCGAUCGGCCACAUUGGGACUGAGAUACGGCCCAG
rnacentral:rRNA from 1 species